rnacentral:lncRNA from 10 species
UGGAAGAAGGGGCAGAAUAGUAUCAAAAAUGCUUCACUCCCAGGAAUGUGGUGAGCAUAAAAUUAAAUAAUGAAAAAGUCAACUAUAAAGCACUAAAUAAAUAUAAGGUGGUGAAUCUGACAGAGGAAGAAUUAAAUGACUUGUUCAAGGUCACCUUUGAGGAAUUUGCAGGAAGUUUAACUUAUGUAUAUUUUUCCCCUGUAGUACCCCAGGUAUGGCCUAAUGACAGGAAAACAAAUGAAGUGGAUCCCCAUCUUCCACCCUUGCCUCCGCUAAGCCAUCAGAGGACAAGUUUCCCACCCCACUCUCUCCAAUUUCACUUGAAAAAUAAAACAGGCCUCCAGCUGUGAAAUGGAUUAUGCUCUACAACUAUGUACCUGGAAUAGAAGCCAUCAUUCUUCAUGAAGUUUGCUGAGAAUUAUGUAUCGCAGCCUGGCAGCUUCCUGUUCCCUCGUUAGCCUGCAUAUCCCACUUAACGAAAGAUUCGCCAUGCACUGACUUGUAUGUGACUCACAGUGUGCACAGUAUGCACUGACUGUGACCUGUCCCCAAAUGAACACAGUACCAGUCUAACGUACCACCUUACCUAUGGCUCUCUCCCAUACACACCCAAUCCACUGCAGGCAAAUGAUCUACCCACAAUCUCCCAAACACAGUCUUCACUGUCUGGUCACUGCUCCUUUACACGUGGCAUUCACUCUGCUUGCAGAGGC